AUUGAACGCUGGCGGCAGGCCUACCACAUGCAAGUCGAGCGGAGCGGCGGACGGGUGAGUAAUGCCUAGGAAUCUGCCUGGUAGUGGGGGAUAACGUCCGGAAACGGGCGCUAAUACCGCAUACUAUCAGAUGUGCCCAGAUGGGAUUAGCUAGUAGGUGGGGUAAUGGCUCACCUAGGCGACGAUCCCUAGCUGGUCUGAGAGGAUGACCAGCCACACGGGAACUGAGACACGGUCCAUACUCCUACGUGAGGCAGCAGUGGGGAAUAUGGCACAAUGGGCGAAAGCCUGAUGCAGCCAUGCCGCGUGUAUGAAGAAGGCCUUCGGGUUGUAAAGUACUUUCAGCGGGGAGGCGUUACCCGCAGAAGAAGCACCGGCUAACUCCGUGCCAGCAGCCGCGGUAAUUC
rnacentral:rRNA from 1 species